rnacentral:lncRNA from 1 species
CUUCUUCAGGUCCCACUGCUGACCGCCAGACCAAACUCCUACAGCUGCCGCCUGCAUCCCAGACCGCCUGCAUCCCGCUCGGAGCGGGUCCGAGCCCUGCUCCCUCCCAGCGCACCUUUUCCACGACACGGAUGACACCAGCGAUGAGAGAGUCUCGGUCCUGAUACUUCUUAGCGCUGGUGUGCAGGGGCAAGCUGUCGUCACCCUUGUCAACUGGUUCGGAUGAAGCCCCUGUGGCCGCCAUCUUGAUCUCGGGCGGCCCCGAUAAGGGAGGCGGAGUGUGCGGAGAGGAGGCGGGGCAACUGCGCGGACGUGACGCAAGGCGCCG